AGUGAACGCUGGCGGCGUGCUUAACACAUGCAAGUCGAAACGCGAAAGCCCUUUCGGGGGUAAGUAGAGUGGCGUCCGGGUGAGUAACACGUAGGUAAUCUACCUUCGGGUGGGGAAUAACUCGCCGAAAGGCGAGCUAAUACCGCAUAAUGCAGCGGCACCUAAUGGUGAUUAGUUGUUAAAAGCGGGGGAUCGUAAGACCUCGCGCCUGAAGAGGAGCCUGCGGCAGAUUAGCUAGNGGUUGAGGUAAUGGCUCACCAAGGCUUCGAUCUGUAGCUGGUCUGAGAGGACGGCCAGCCACACUGGCACUGACACACGGCGACGACUCC
rnacentral:rRNA from 1 species